UUGGAGGGCAAGUCUGGUGCCAGCAGCCGCGGUAAUUCCAGCUCCAAUAGCGUAUAUUAAAGUUGUUGCAGUUAAAAAGCUCGUAGUUGAAUUUCGGGGUCAGUAGGUUGGUCAUGCCACUGGUAUGUACUGGUCUCACUGAUUCCUCCUUCCUGAUGAGCUGUAAUGCCAUUAAUUUGGUGUUGCGGGGAAUCUGGACUGUUACUUUGAAAAAAUUAGAGUGUUUAAAGCAGGCUAACGCCUGAAUACAUUAGCAUGGAAUAAUGAAAUAGGACGUUCGAUUCUAUUUUGUUGGUUUCUAGGAUUGACGUAAUGAUUAAUAGGGAUAGUUGGGGGCAUUAGUAUUCAAUUGUCAGAGGUGAAAUUCUUGGAUUUAUUGAAGACUAACUACUGCGAAAGCAUUUGCCAAGGAUGUUUUCAUUAAUCAAGAACGAAAGUUAGGGGAUCGAAGACGAUCAGAUACCGUCGUAGUCUUAACCAUAAACUACGCCGACUAGGGAUCGGAUGAUGUUAAUUUUUUAAUGACUCAUUCGGCGCCUUACGGGAAAC
rnacentral:rRNA from 1 species